rnacentral:lncRNA from 1 species
AUCAGAUCCAGAUGUGACCCUCUGUAGUUAGGAGACCUAUAAAUUUAAAAGGUAGAUUAUCUGCCUCUCUCUAGCACGAGGACUGAAUAUGCAAUGAUGGAGAAGGCAUAGAAUACACAUAAUGAAUGCCCCCAUUCAUUAUAUUGUAUAAUUCUGGACAGCAAUUUAAAUCUCAAUAGGAAGGAAUUUUAAUAAAGUUCCCAAGCACAUGCUGGGAGUGCAGUAAGCACCUUCGCUGGAUGAAUUCUGCCCACUAGACAGAACCCUUUGUCCACGGUUCUUUAGGAACUCUGGCUCUUAAGUCUGAGAAGUUUUUGUUGCAUUACUCUCCUUGGCCAUUUAUAAACUGAGGGAUGAAGACGACCACAUGCUCCUUGAGGGUUCCACGAUGAGCCUCUGCUUUCCUGAAAGAAAGAUAAGAACCAAGGCUUUUUUUUUUUUUUUUUUUUUUUUUGGUCUUGAAUAUUUAAAGGCUUGUAUAGAUAAGCCUUGGACUUACCCAGUUCUCCCUGCUUAUUUGAUUAUAGUUCUCAAGAAUAACUGUAGAAUGUACUGGGAAUGCAACAUCCUGAGAUAGAAAGGGACUGGCUAGAACAGACCAGGCUCUGUUCCAGUGCCCCCCGGAAACAGGAUGCACUUCAAUGCUUUAGUCCAGCGAAUCACGUUCCUCUGGAGUGUAAAACCCAGGGCAGGCUGCUUUACCGGAUCCUUCAACUGCAGGACCAGUGGGGCACACACAGAGAAGACUCCAUCUACUUUAGGCAGCUUUCCGGAGCCUUGGGAAAAAGUUCACCAUAGAUCAUCAGCUUCUGUUGGUCCUUGCUGCUUAUCUGACCUAAUGAGAAGUCUUAGAAGUGGAUCCCUGAAGGACAGAUUAAUGUCCUCCCUUGAGGGGAGGGUGUCGGACAUAUGAUGUUUGCACAUAGAGAGUACUUGAACAAGGAAAGCUUGCUGGGUUUGGAACAGAUUCUAGAUUGUGAAUGUGAGACCAAAACCUACUCUGAAAUACCAACAUACUGAAUUUCACUUCAUGUUUUUCUCUCUAAACAUAUAAUCUAAAGAUAUGUUGUUUAUGUUAGUUUUUGAUAAUUCAGGUGUAGAUAAAAGGGCUGGUCACAGUCUAGAAUAUAAUACAUUUAAUCUCUAUAAAAUGCUGUGUUUUUUUUUCUUUGCAAAUAUAUGAUACAUUUGAAAACAGGAAAUUUGAAUUAUAAUUAAUCACCAGACUCCGUUUAUAUUCAACUCCUACCAUCUAAAAACAACUAAACUUUCCUUCAGGACCAAUAUAUCUCUACUUCUCAGAAGUAUGGGGUUAUCUCAUUCUUAGCUGUGAUAAAAUGGCUUUGUUUAAUUGCCUCGAGCUUUAUAAAUUUCAAGAAAAAUAUUGUCAUUCAUGCUGUGCUCUUUCUCUUAAAAUAAUUCAAAAUUGACAGAGUAUUUUGGCAAUCUAUUCAUUAUAUUGGACAAUAAAGCACAUGGGUUAACAUUUUAAAAUGUCAAACGCUUUUGCUUAAUUGAACUGGUUUUUUCUAAGAUGUUAGUAUGCAAUAUCAAUAAAUGAAAAAUACAAUUUUGACCUUCCAAAUGGUCAAAUUAACAUUUAAAAUAAAUCUAUACAUAUUGAGACAUGACUUAUUUUUCUUUGAAAUAUUAUAUUACUUUUCAAUUCAUGGAGGAUUAAAUAAUGAUAUUGAAAGGACAAAAUGAAAAUAAAAGAGAUAAUUCAAUUUGUACCUCGAUAUUGAAAUUGCAAUUCCUGGUUUACUUUUCAACAUACAAUCAUAUUCCUCGGACGCAAAAAAAAAGUUUGACAAUAUGUCAUUAAAAAGUCACUGAUUUGUUGAUACUACGCAGUCCCAUGACUUUUUAUUUUGUCAGUGAGUAGCACGUUAGAAAUAUGAAUUAUUUUUGUCCUCACGACAACUCUAUGAGUGAGUUCUUCCAGAAAUUGAGGCACACAACGUUUAAGAAACUCUUUCAAGAUUCACAGCUAGAGAGUGGUAGAAUGGAGUCUUACUCUUAAGUAUUGUCAAUAUAGAAUUGUCACAUAUGUAUACAUUUUAAAAUAAUUUUAAGGCUUUCUGCUCUUUAACAGCUCUACACAUACACACACAGCAUAUAUAGAAUUGAAUAAGUAUAUACGUAAGUGUAUGGCACACAUAUUUUGUGAUUCCACAGCUCUUUGGUUGAUGCAAUUACUCAAUACAAGCAAUUUUCCCUUUUGCUACCCUUGAUCCUCCUAACUCCUAAGGAGAAUUAAUGCAUCUUAUGAGUAUUUAUUUAUUGUCUGCAACUACAUAUGGAAUAUAUGUUAACUACAAAACUGCUCACUGUGUUGCCUUCUGAGCCUCUCUCUCCUCUCUCCUCCCCUCCCCGAAAAAUCUCAGAUUCUGAAGUGAGAAAUUAAGAAUACUGCGGUUGUCAUUCUGUUUGGGUCAAUAUAUUGGGCCUUCUUUGAAGCCAAAACUACUUCUGGAGUUCUCAACCAUGUAAAGAUAUAGAUUUAUUUUUUAACACAGUUAUAACAUAAUUUUAUAUUAUUUGUAGCAUACACUUGCUAACUGAAGCAUUGUUUAUUUUCUUUAUUAAUGUGAGGUAUCUAUUAUACUGAAUCAUAUUAUUAUGUUUCUGUCACCAUUGCUUAUAAUAAUUCCUGACCAUCGUAGUCUUUAGAUACUUAAAAUACUUGAAAAACAGGAUUAGAUAUAAUUUAUCAAUAAGGUUUUAAAAAUCUCACUUUAUAAAAUAUACAUUGAUAACCCACAGUAAUUAAUAAUCUAAGAAGAGCGCAAUCUCAGUGCCCAGACCUCUGAAAUUAAGCUCACUGAUCUCAGUCAAUAUAACAUACUUUGUAACUUGACAUCAAUAAACUAAUGCUGAAUAGAAAUAAGGUAUACAUGUAUACGUGUAUACACAUAUACAUGUUUCUUUUGCUUUUUUUAAAUUUAUUUUAUUUUAUUUUAUUUAUUUAUUUUUUGAGACGGAGUCUUGCUCUGACGCCAGGCUGGGGUGCAGUGGCACGAUCUUGGCUCACUGCAACCUCCGCCUCGUGGGUUCAAGCGAUUCCACUGCCUCAGCCUCUCGAGUAGCUGGGACUACAAGGCACCCGCCACCACUCCUGUCCAAUUUUUUUGUAUUUUAGUAGAGACAGGGUUUCGCCAUGUUGGCCAGGAUGAUCUUGAUCUGCUGACCUCGUGAUCCCCUCGCCUUGGCGUCCCAAAGUGCUGUAAUUACAGGCGUGAGCCACCUGCGCGAACCAAACUAAAGUCAACAUAGUUUUAGUUUCCAAAAUGACAAACUUAUUUCUGAUCCUGGGGACUUGAAUAUAGCUUUUGGGAUGGGGACAGUAUAGAGGAAUGUUAGAAUGUUCACUGUUGGAUCACAGAGGCCAAAUGAAUAUAUCCCCACUGUCCAAACGUUCCCUAUAGUCCCAAGAGACAGGCUUCCUCCUUUUUCCUUUGAGAUGCAGUCUUCAUGUGCAUAAAGUGCAUUACUUCCCUACCCUUUUUUCAAUGCCACAUUUGUCUCAAGCAGAUGUGCACAUAUUGGAUCCAAGCAUAGGAGUUUCCAAAGAGCUACAAAUAGCUUAGAUGUCUCAGUGAUCUAAACAGCACACAAUCACGGCCUUGAGUAAUACAGAUUUAUUGCAAUUAAGGAAAGAAAAAAAAAACCCAGAAAACAACUUAUAUGUAUCAGCCUGAUGGUGAGCUUCCUGGUAUCAGAAACAUUGUAUCUUUUUUUUUUCUCUGCCUCCUGUGUUGAAGUGAUUCUCCUGCCUCAGCCUCCCGAGUUGCUGGGAGUACAGGUGCCCAUCACUUUGCCCGGCUAAUUUUUGUAUUUUUAGUAGAGACAGGGUUUUGCCAUAUUGGCCAGGCUGGUCUCCAACUCCUGACCUUAAAUGAUCUGCCCGACUCGGGCUCCCAAAGUGCCGGGAUUACAGGCGUGAGCCACCGUGUCCAGCCAGAAAUAUUGAAUCUUAUUAUUCUAUAAUAUUUCAAGUGUUCAGUUCUGCCCUUUUUGGGGAAAAAAUGCAUUGACUCUUACGGGACCAGCAUUUGCUUUUUUCCUUUGGAAUCGAAUUAUCCUUUACUACAUGCAGACAUGUUAGGACAAUUAAUUAAAUUUCUGCACUUCUUAGGCCAAGUGAGGUAGAAAAGGAUUUAUUUUUAAGUUUUUGUUGUGAUAGAAUGUACAUAAUAUGAAAAGUAUCAUCUUAACCAUUUUAAGUUGCAGUUCAGUAACAUUAGUACGUUCACAUUAUUUUGUGUAAUCCUCACCACUGUGUGUCUUCAGAACUUUUUUUGUCAUCCCAAGCUGGAACUCUGUAGCCAGAGUUCUGUAAACAAUAACUUCCCAUUUCUGCUUCCUGCCACCCCUGGUAACCAAUAUUCUACUUUCUUUCUCUAUGAAUUAAACUAUUCUAGGUACUACACAUAAGUGGAAACCUACAAUAUUUGAGCUUUCGUGUCUGGUAAUUUCACUUAACAUAAUGUCUUCAUGGUUCAUCCAUGUUGUAGCAUGUAUGUGAAUUUCACUCCUUUUUAAGGCUGAAUGAUUUUCAAUUGUACGCAUAUAUCACAUUUUGUUUAUUCAUCCGUUCAAGGACAUUUGGGUUCUUUCUGCCUUUUGCCUAUUGCGAUGAAUGGUGCUGUGAACAUAGAUGUACAAUGUUCUAUGAACAUUAUUGUAGAACUAUCUAUACUGUUUUAAAAUAAAUAUUUCUGUUUUGAAUUCACUUGGAUAUAUUCCUCAAAUUCAUUUUAUAGUAAAUUAUCUUUUUUUUACUUCUAUCAUCUUCACUCUAAGCCACAAAAUGAAAUAAAUAGAUAAUGACAACUAAUUAAUCUUGAGUUAUCUUUUGCUUUUCUUCGCUGUUAUUGUUAUAUGUGUGUGUUUUAGAAAUGCUAAUCAUAUAACAGUAUUUCUGAAGCAUGUGUUACUAUUAGGUACAAAACACUUUCAAAAAAAAAGAUUGCCAUUAUAUAUUUUUUCUCUUUAAAAUGUAUGGAAAAUUCAGAUGGACAGAUUUAAUUACUAAAGCU